AUCUCUACUUGGAGAUCACCUCCUGUAGGAGUUUCCAGUGAGCCCUGAUCCUCAGAAAGAGGCACAGCAGUUCCUCUGGGCGUCUGGGGCUGAUGGAAGCAGCCUGAAGAAGGGCACAGACUGCAGUGUUAUUCAGGCAGGUACCCAAACUGUGAGUGCUCUGCCUGGGUUCUGCCAUCGCUCGUGUGGGUGCAGGACUAGAAGUGAUGCUGUGGAACGCCUGUGUGACACAUUGUGCCAAAGGGAGGGCUGUGUUUGCAACAAGUUGCCACAGGUCUCCAUCGGGACGUGAGGCUUUUUGGCACCACCGCACGUCUUUGGGAGCUGGCUGCGCAUCUCUGAAGCCCCCUCUAAUUGGCUGCAUUUAAAGAUGCCUCCCGAGCUGUCUUUGUCUCCUCGCAGCAAGCAGGACACGCGUCCCUAAAAUGACACCGGCUAAUUAAGGCCGUGGAAGCCCAA